rnacentral:sRNA from 2 species
AGGACAGGAAGCAGGCGCGUGGGCGAACAAGGGUCCUUCGCCUCUUCCUCAACGGCCACCCAGCAAACGCCGAUCAGAAGGCCCAAAACGAAAAAAGCGGAUAGCGAGGAUACCACAUAAAGAAGGCCUGAAUAAUAAUUAUCUCGCAGCUCAUUGAUCAAUAUCGAUCGAUGAUCAGGAGUGGAAGGCCUCGCCGCUUCAGGGCUGGGAGAGCGGGGAAGCUGUGGCGUGGCCGCCCCUCACUCGGCUUCGUCUUUCGUCGGUGUUCGAUGCUCUGAUUGACCAAGGCCGACGAUAGAGGCUGCCUUAGGUACUUAGUGCACAGCGCCGUCAACUUAAACUCUGCAAAGGACAGCCAAGACCUGCAUUCCGAGGAACGUGUUUGGCUAGGAGGUGAUCAUGUUAAUCUGAGGGUUCGUGGUUGCUCUGAUUUCGCUCUCGAGUCAAGAAUAAUGUGCGACGCCCAGUUCGUCGUUCGCAUUUCGCGUUUUUCUUUUUCUGUAUAUAUAGUAAAGCAUUCUCUGCAGAAACCCAGAGGAUGAUCUGAUCGGACCAGUGGCUGAGGAAUGAGUGAUUGACCAACGCUAAGAAGUAAAGGAGCAGCGUGCAGCUACUUUGGGAGUACAUCUGGGCUUUGCAUGGGGCCGGGCGGAAGUACCUGGCAUGUACUCUGUGCUGCAUCUCGUUCUGUCCAUUUCUUGGAUGUGUUGCGCCCAAGCUUCAUCGUCUGCUCGCUCCUGGUUGUCGUUCGAGCAGAAUGAGGGAGAGGGAUAGCUGACGAGCUGGCUAGCGAUCGCAAAUUUUGGCGCUCAGCAGGCCAGCCCCUGCAAACUAUGCCAGAAGACUAAAAUAUUAGAAGCUACUGAAUAUAAUAUAGUAAUAAAGGACAAAGAAAAUGCCCUUAUCAUUCGUCCUCCAAUCCGAGAAACGAGCAUUCUCGCCAAAGAGGACGCUGCCCGCAAAAAUAACGACGACAAUAACGACAAUGCAUUAUUCUGCAUCCCAAGUCGCCACCUCCUCAUUUCCCAAAUGCAUCGCAGAACCCA